UAAAUGGGUUAUUGUUGCCCAGGGCUGUCCGUGGUACCGGGAGAUUGGCACCCGAGAGGUCCCAAGCCUGCAUCAAUCGGCAGAAAUGCGUAAGACCGAUGGCAAGGUACAUCUUUGAGAGUCUUGUCGCACAGGGACGCGCCAAUCCGGAGAAUGGGGUGAAACUCCUCUGAAAUCUGGUGUUGCUUCAUUCCACGGGAAGCCCAAACAAAGUGAAACACGCAUUUAGUUGGCGCAUUUGCGGGAUAUUAACUUUGA
ncrna:unclassified sequences Hairpin-meta2 ribozyme sequence